rnacentral:lncRNA from 1 species
GAAUGGUAGAAAGCAGUCUUCAGCCUGAGACCCAUCCCUAGACUCUAUGGCACAAAGAGGCACUACAGAAAAUCCCAGAAUUUAUUCUGACUGAAGCAAUAUGCAACUGGCAAAACUGGCAGCUGAAAGGAUCCUGAAUAAGAAGAACUCCUCAAUUUGAAUCCAGGCUCUAUGCCAGGUAUUGGAAUACAAUAAGGAGCAAGACAGAAGAAUUUACCCGGUAGCAGGGUAGGAAGAUGACCAUCUUUGCAUCAGAAUAACUGUAUAGUAGUGUAGACAGGAAGUAAAAUGCAAGUAUAUCUUAAAAGAAAACAACAGUAUCUCUGUGAUUGAUACAUGAAGUGGCCAUCUCAAUAUGAUCAAUUAUGUUUGGAAAGAGAAAUUCCCUCAAACAUAUAAGAAUGGACUUUUAGUCUCACCUCCCUUAUUCCAGUCUUUGUGUAAUCUUGAAAGUGACACAGCCUUUUGUGGUAUUUUUCUGGGUUGUAAAAUGUGAAAAAAGAUUAUUCGCAUCUCAAAAUUACUAUCAGGAUUAAAUGAAAGAAUUUGCAUAAGAUAUUGAUCUGCAGUACAGUAUUUCAAAUAACUC